rnacentral:rRNA from 1 species
UACGAAGGGGGCUAGCGUUGCUCGGAAUGACUGGGCGUAAAGGGCGCGUAGGCGGACGGCUUUGUCGGGCGUGAAAUUCCAGGGCUUAACCUUGGGGCUGCGUUCGAGACGGGUUGUCUAGAGUUUGGAAGAGGGUCGUGGAAUUCCCAGUGUAGAGGUGAAAUUCGUAGAUAUUGGGAAGAACACCGGUGGCGAAGGCGGCGACCUGGUCCUUGACUGACGCUGAGGCUCGAAAGCGUGGGGAGCAAACAGG